UUGGAGGGCAAGUCUGGUGCCAGCAGCCGCGGUAAUUCCAGCUCCAAUAGCGUAUAUUAAAGUUGUUGCAGUUAAAAAGCUCGUAGUUGAACCUUUGGCCUGGCUGGCGGGUCUGCCUCACCGCAUGCACUCGUCCGGCCGGGCCUUCUCUUCUGGAGAAUCGCAUGCCCUUCACUGGGUGUGUCGAGGACCAGGACUUUUACUUUGAAAAAAUUAGAGUGUUCAAAGCAGGCCUUUGCUCGAAUACGUUAGCAUGGAAUAAUGGAAUAGGACGUGCGGUCCUAUUUUGUUGGUUUCUAGGACCGCCGUAAUGAUUAAUAGGGACAGUCGGGGGCAUCAGUAUUCAAUUGUCAGAGGUGAAAUUCUUGGAUUUAUUGAAGACUAACUACUGCGAAAGCAUUUGCCAAGGAUGUUUUCAUUAAUCAGUGAACGAAAGUUAGGGGAUCGAAGACGAUCAGAUACCGUCGUAGUCUUAACCAUAAACUAUGCCGACUAGGGAUCGGGCGGUGUUUCUAUUAUGACCCGUUCGGCGCCUUACGGGAAAC
rnacentral:rRNA from 1 species